AUUGAACGCUGGCGGCAUGCCUUACACAUGCAAGUCGAACGGCAGCACGGAGCUUGCUCUGGUGGCGAGUGGCGAACGGGUGAGUAAUAGAUCGGAACGUACCCAAGAGUGGGGGAUAACGUAGCGAAAGUUACGCUAAUACCGCAUACGAUCUAAGGAUGAAAGUGGGGGAUCUCAAGACCUCAUGCUCCUGGAGCGGCCGAUAUCUGAUUAGCUAGUUGGUGAGGUAAAGGCUCACCAAGGCAUCGAUCAGUAGCUGGUCUGAGAGGACGACCAGCCACACUGGAACUGAGACACGGUCCAGACUCCUACGGGAGGCAGCAGUGGGGAAUUUUGGACAAUGGGGGCAACCCUGAUCCAGCAAUGCCGCGUGAGUGAAGAAGGCCUUCGGGUUGUAAAGCUCUUUUGUCAGGGAAGAAACGGUGAAGGCUAAUAUCCUUUGCUAAUGACGGUACCUGAAGAAUAAGCACCGGCUAACUACGUGCCAGCAGCCGCCGUAA
rnacentral:rRNA from 1 species